rnacentral:rRNA from 1 species
UACGAAGGGGGCUAGCGUUGCUCGGAAUCACUGGGCGUAAAGGGUGCGUAGGCGGGUCUUUAAGUCAGGGGUGAAAUCCUGGAGCUCAACUCCAGAACUGCCUUUGAUACUGAAGAUCUUGAGUUCGGGAGAGGUGAGUGGGACUGCGAGUGUAGAGGUGAAAUUCGUAGAUAUUCGCAAGAACACCAGUGGCGAAGGCGGCUCACUGGCCCGAUACUGACGCUGAGGAGCGAAAGCAUGGGGAGCGAACAGG